UCCGAAUUGGUGUAGUGGCUAACAUUUGACGCUCUCAUCCCACACGCAAGAGGGGUUGCCGUCAAGCCCGGGGUUCGAUUCCCCGAUUCGGAG